GAAAGCAACUCGCUGGUUUUGAAAUCUCUGGGGCGGUGGGGGUCUAUUCUUUUAUUGCGAGUUGCAGCCAUUUGCUUGGCUCACCGACGGUCCGAAGGGGAGAGAUGCGGUCGUGAGAAGCCACUUGGCGGCUGACGAACCAACGACAGGGAUCUGCUGCUCCUACAAAUAAAGAUUCUACUGAAUAUGAUUAUAGCGAUCAGUCCGCUGGAUUGAUGAAGAUUGGCAUUUCGCUAAUCAAAAGGAAACUUUGAGGCAAAACUACCUCCCCGUUUUCCAUAAACACGGAGAGCACGAAGCGUCCGCCAAAAGGAGGAGCCAAAAACACCGGCCCCCUCUCCUUCGGCGCUAACCGGAAGCCAAACGAGCCCCCUUCCCCUUCCCCACUCCCUCUUAUUAUACCCCGGCGGAGCACCGGACUCCGAUGACCGGUUUAUCCCUUUAUCGCGACGGGGUCCCUCUGGAUGCCCCCGUCUUGAGCCCCUGCGGCGGCCUCCCUCUCUCCCCCGAGUUCGCCGACCCCGAGGCCGAGCUCCGACGGCUCUUCGACCAGAUCGCUGGAGAUUCUUCGCUGGAGAGCCUAGGCUCCGAUCUCUUCGAGCGCUGGGUUCGGAGGUUCUUCGGCGAGGGCGGCGACGGGAGUCCGUACCCGGAUCUUAGGCGGAGGAUCGAAGCGCUCAUCCGCAAGCUUUUGAGCGAGAGGAAGGCCGGGUCGAAGGAGGCUGGGAGUGCGGGUUCUUCGCCGGGGUCGUCGAAGAGGAAAAGGGAGUUGGAGGAGAUGCUGAUGCGGGUCCGAGGCUUCGCCGUCGACCCCCACGGUAAAACGACCGGAGGAGGAGAAGGACAGGAACGGGAGAAGCAAGUGCUGAAGGCGCGGGUUGCUCGGUACCUGAGCACGGCCGAGUUCGCAAAUAUCGAGGACUUCCCUUCGUAUCCUCAGAAGAAGCAGAAAAAUGGCAAGCAGUCUUCAGCAAAAGCACAGAAGAAACGGAGAAGAAUGCUGAAUCAGCCAGAACGGAGGUCUCAAAGAAUAGCUCGAAAGCUGAAAGUUAAUGAACGCCAUCUUGUUACCCUCAGGAAACGCAUUGGAGUUGGUACCUUGUUUCAGGCUGAAGUUCCGGAGUGGACUGGCCCACCCAAUGUCAUAGAUGUUUCUGAGGACAAUGAAGAUUCGGAUGAUUCAAAGUGGUUGGGUACCAGAGUCUGGCCAGUAGGAGGGGAUGAUAGAAAAAUUAGCGAGGCGAUGAUUGGGAAAGCCAGACCAGACUCAUGUGCCUGCGGUUCUGCAGGAUCAGUAGCCUGCAUAAGGUCUCAUGUUACGGCCGCACGACUUCAACUUCAGUGUGACUUGGGUCAGGCUUUCUUCAGUUGGGGAUUUGAUGGAAUGGGUGAAGAAGUUUCCAAGUUGUGGACACGUGAGGAGCAGAUGAAGUUUGACCCUCUUGAAAGACUGGAUCCUAAGUCAGAACACAAGACUUUCUGGAAACUUGCCAAGAACUGUUUCAUCUCCAAGAGCAGACAAGAUUUAGUGAGCUUUUAUGUCAAUGUCUUUAUUCCAAGACAGAUGAGCAACCAGAGCAGAUUGCCAACUGCAGAGGUCAAUUCUGAGGAUGAUGAUGAUGAUGGCGAUGAUGAAAAAGAUGAAAAACCUCAUGAAGAUGGGAGAAAGGGCAAAGCUCUUGAAGGUCUCAUGCUCCAGGUCUUCUCAAAGGUCUCUGAAGUUGAAGAAGAAACCUUGAAGGUGUAUUGUCAGCAAUAUUGGACAUACUGUAGCAGCAGUGCUUCAGCAUACUUGGGAGAGUACAUAACCAGUAAGGUUCAAAUGAUGAGCUACUUUGGUAGAUCAUCCUCAAUAGCAACACAGAUUGGGAACAACUAAUGGGAACCUUGUUGAGUUGGUAACUGGUAGGAGAUAUUUUGAUUUUUCAAAUGUACAAGAUAGACAUCAACGUGACUGUUAAAAGAGGAAAACCACAACCCGAACCUCGCCCAGCACCAUCAAAACUGUCAUUCUUGUACCUGACUUAUGUCCACAAUUUUCAUGCAGCUCCCGUGGCUGCUAGACGUGUAAGGCCGCUCUGUUCUAUCUUUUACUAUUUUCAUUUUUAGGAAGGUACAAGACUUGACACAGCACACUAUUUUGAUCCAAUUAUUUUCAUUAUGAUACCAAUGCCAAAGAUUUUCCAGAACUGUUUCUUUUUCUGUGGUGCACCUCACCACAUCACAUAAACUGUAAAAUGCCGAUGUACUUGUUUAAAUGUAUUUAUAAUUUCUUCCAUGAAUUGAUUUCAA